rnacentral:lncRNA from 1 species
UCUUGAUUUGCCUGUGAGUUCAAUUUAAAUGAGGCAGAGUUGUACAAAUCUGUCAGCCUCACUCUCUCUCCUAGAAUUGCUGAAGUCCAGUAGUAAUAACAAAAAGAAGAUGACUGGUGAUGGCUUGGGAUGCAGUGGAAGAUUGAAAAAUACUAUCUCAUUUUACAGAUGAGGACACUGAGGCAAACAGGAAGAAGUGAUUUGCCCAAGCUCACCCAGCUAAUACAUUGUCUGAGUCCAGAUUUGAACUCUUAAAUGUAAGUCUUCCUGAUUCCAGGUCCUUCCUUCUAUCCAUUAUGCCACCUUACUGCUUCCAAACAAGUGUAAAACCUAGAGGAAAAAGGAAGAAUAGGACUGAGAGGAAUAGUAAAAUAUAGACAUAAGUAAAGAAGAAAAAAUGAAAACUAAAGGAAAAGAGUUGCUGAGUAACAUAAAGUUCUUUCCAGUCUAGUAGAAGCUGCUUAAGUGGUGGUUUGGCUAGCAUACUAGACUCAAAUUCAGGAAGACGCAAGUUCAAAUUCUGCCUUAGACACCUACUUGCUGUAUGGCCUGACCUUAGACAAGUCAUGCUAUCUUUUUCAGCCUCAGUACCUUGUCUGCAAAAUGGG